UGAGAGGACGUGGGACCCGCCUUCUCUGCCAUUAACUCUGAGAAUGUGACCAUAACCGUUCAUAUGGACUACAGCAUGUAAAAGAUGACUGGUAUCAUCCAACUGGUUAUACAUCCAAUCCUCAACAUCUUCAGUAGUCAACACAUGGUUACAUGACUUGCACCUGUAAAAACCUUGAGUCAGACAAAUGGACGAAAGCGCCACAACCAGCACAUGGCUUGUUGUAGCCCCCAAUAGAAGCCCCAUCAGCCUUUAUUAUGAAAUGGUACCUCUUCCCACAUACUGG
rnacentral:lncRNA from 1 species